rnacentral:rRNA from 1 species
GACGAACGCUGGCGGCGUGCUUAACACAUGCAAGUCGAACGGAAAGGCCCUGCUUUUGUGGGGUGCUCGAGUGGCGAACGGGUGAGUAACACGUGGGUAACCUGCCCUUGACUUUGGGAUAACUUCAGGAAACUGGGGCUAAUACCGGAUAGGAGCUCCUGCUGCAUGGUGGGGGUUGGAAAGUUUCGGCGGUUGGGGAUGGACUCGCGGCUUAUCAGCUUGUUGGUGGGGUAGUGGCUUACCAAGGCUUUGACGGGUAGCCGGCCUGAGAGGGUGACCGGCCACAUUGGGACUGAGAUACGGCCCAGACUCCUACGGGAGGCAGCAGUGGGGAAUAUUGCACAAUGGGCGGAAGCCUGAUGCAGCAACGCCGCGUGCGGGAUGACGGCCUUCGGGUUGUAAACCGCUUUCGCCUGUGACGAAGCGUGAGUGACGGUAAUGGGUAAAGAAGCACCGGCUAAUUACGUG